rnacentral:rRNA from 1 species
GAUAUCCCGGUUUAGUUGGAAGUAGGCGAUGGGUAGGCAAAUCCGCCCGUCAUAUACCGAGGCCAACGAUCGAGCCAGCUUGCUGGUGAAGUGACUGAACGAGGUUCCAGGAAAAGCCACUAAGCUUCAGCUAUACACGACCGUACCGCGAACCGACACUGGUGCGCGAGAUGAGUAUUCUAAGGCGCUUGAGAGAACUCAGGAGAAGGAACUCGGCAAAUUGACACCGUAACUUCGGAAGAAGGUGUGCCCUAUUAGUGUGAAGUGAACAACGGAGCAUGAAUGGGUUGCAAAAAAUCGGUGGCUGCGACUGUUUAUUAAAAACACAGCACUCUGCAAACACGAAAGUGGACGUAUAGGGUGUGACGCCUGCCCGGUGCUGGAAGAUUAAAUGAUGGGGUGCAAGCUCUUGAUUGAAGUCCCAGUAAACGGCGGCCGUAACAAUAACGGUCCUAAGGUAGCGAAAUUCCUUGUCGGGUAAGUUCCGACCUGCACGAAUGGCGUAACGAUGGCCACACUGUCUCCUCCUGAGACUCAGCGAAGUUGAAAUGUUUGUGAUGAUGCAAUCUCCCCGCGGAAAGACGGAAAGACCCCAUGAACCUUUACUGUAGCUUUGUAUUGGACUUUGAACAGAUCUGUGUAGGAUAGGUGGGAGGCUUUGAAGCAGGGUCGCUAGAUCUUGUGGAGCCAACGUUGAAAUACCACCCUGGUGUGUUUGAGGUUCUAACCUAGGUCCAUUAUCUGGAUCGGGGACAGUGCAUGGUAGGCAGUUUGACUGGGGCGGUCUCCUCCCAAAGCGUAACGGAGGAGUUCGAAGGUACGCUAGUUACGGUCGGACAUCGUGACGAUAGUGCAAUGGCAUAAGCGUGCUUAACUGCGAGACUGACAAGUCGAGCAGAUGCGAAAGCAGGACAUAGUGAUCCGGUGGUUCUGUAUGGAAGGGCCAUCGCUCAACGGAUAAAAGGUACUCUGGGGAUAACAGGCUGAUACCGCCCAAGAGUUCAUAUCGACGGCGGUGUUUGGCACCUCGAUGUCGGCUCAUCUCAUCCUGGGGCUGUAGCCGGUCCCAAGGGUAUGGCUGUUCGCCAUUUAAAGAGGUACGUGAGCUGGGUUUAAAACGUCGUGAGACAGUUUGGUCCCUAUCUUCCGUGGGCGCUGCAGAUUUGAGGAAGCCUGCUCCUAGUACGAGAGGACCGGAGUGGACACACCUCUGGUGUAUCGGUUGUCACGCCAGUGGCAUUGCCGAGUAGCUAAGUGUGGAAGAGAUAACCGCUGAAAGCAUCUAAGCGGGAAACUCGUUUCAAGAUGAGAUCUGCCGGGGCCUUGAGCCCCCUGAAGAGUCGUUCAAGACCAGGACGUUGAUAGGUCAGGUGUGGAAGCGCAGUAAUGCGUUAAGCUAACUGAUACUAAUUGCUCGUGCGGCUUGACCCU